rnacentral:rRNA from 1 species
UACGUAGGGUGCGAGCGUUAAUCGGAAUUACUGGGCGUAAAGCGUGCGCAGGCGGUUUCGUAAGACAGAUGUGAAAUCCCCGGGCUUAACCUGGGAACUGCGUUUGUGACUGCGAGACUCGAGUGUGGCAGAGGGGGGUGGAAUUCCGCGUGUAGCAGUGAAAUGCGUAGAGAUGCGGAGGAACACCGAUGGCGAAGGCAGCCCCCUGGGCUAACACUGACGCUCAGGCACGAAAGCGUGGGGAGCAAACAGG